rnacentral:rRNA from 1 species
AUUGAACGCUGGCGGCAGGCUUAACACAUGCAAGUCGAACGAGUGGCGAACGGGUGAGUAACGUAUCGGAACGUACCUAGUGGUGGGGGAUAACUAAUCGAAAGAUUAGCUAAUACCGCAUAUUAUUCGAUCGGCCGAUAGGUGAUUAGGUGGUUGGUGGGGUAAAGGCCUACCAAGGCGCCGCUCAGUAGCGGGUCUGAGAGGAUGAUCAGCCACACCGGGACUGAGACACGGCCCAGACGCCUACGGGAGGCAGCAGUGGGGAAUUUUGGACAAUGGGCGCAAGCCUGACCCAGCCAUGCCGCGUGACUGAAGAAGGCCUUCGGGUUGUAAAGGACUUUUGUCAGGGAAGCGGUACCUGAAGAAUAAGCACCGGCUAACUCCGUGCCAGCAGCCGCGGUAAUAC